UUCAUCUAACCACCUGAGAGUUUUUAAAUCCCUCUUGGGGAACUCAUAAGGGUUCCUAUGCCUAACUUUACAACAGAGUGUUUCCUUAUCGUACAACAACUUAGAACUCAGACCCUUAAGGAACCGUUUUAUUCCGAGAACGUCCGAUCAAAACCGGCCUAAAGGUUUAAUCUCUCUGUUGGAACCCUAGAAGGUUCUAUGUAGAACCUCAAGACUGGUGUUUCAAAGUAGAACCAAGCUAUAACUUCGAAAACCACUUGAGAAACCAUUUUCUCAAUUGGACAAGGGACAUCCCCAGUGACAAGCAGUCACUGAACCGUGAUAGAUGCAGGGUAUUUUAGUACUAGAGUGAGGAGAAAUCAUUCUAAACCAUAUCCUUAAUCUAUGAUUGAGAUUACAGAGAGUUUGCUUUGUGUGUGUGCGUGUGUGUUUUGAGCCACUCUUUAUGCAACGUGUAUUCUACAGACUACUAAAUGCUCUUUUCAAACCUUCGAGGCUGAGAGAAAGAGAAAAAAAAAAACAACUCCCACACACUAAAAACUCCUACAAACAACUCAGAAGAUGGACAAUAGCAGGAGGAAAAUGUACAAGAAGCACACCGAACCAUGCCAGUGUCAAUAUAACACCGGCCGUGAUGGGAAAAGCUCAGGAUGAACCGAUCGACCGAGCCGAAGCAGAGCCAAACUCAGCCGAUCCAUCUCACAUGAAGUGCAGCAAACUUGCAUCAUACGCUUUAUUUACCGAGCAAUACUUACAUCUAUUUCUGGUGGCCAGCAUUGACACAAACACUCUCCUGCCUCGAACGAUAAAUUUACUGACUCUUUUUUUUUUUUUUUUUUUUUUUCCAGCAAA